rnacentral:ncRNA from 1 species
UAAAAAUUUGUUAUUAAUUUGAUUUAUAUGUAAAUUUUUGUGUGAAUUUAUAAUAAUUUUAAAAAUUAUUAUAAUUUUUAUAUCCGCAGUAAUUAAUUUUAUUGAUUAAAGAAAUUUAGAAAUAGCAAUAUUAAAAAGUAUAGAUAAAAUUGGUGCCAGCAAUCGCGGUUAUACUAAUUAUACAAAUGAAUUUUUUUUUGGUUAAAGUUAAAUUGAUUAUAUAUAUAUAUAUAUAUAUAAAUAAAUUAAAUUAAAUUUAUUAAGUGAAAUUUUAAAUUUAAAUUUUUAUUAUAAAAAAAAUUGAAGCUUAAAAAUUUUAAUGAAAAACUAGGAUUAGAUACCCUAUUAUUUAAAAUGUAAUAAAUAUGCCUAAGUAGUAAUAGUUAUGUUCUUGAAACUUAAAAAAUUUGGCGGUAUUUUAGUCUAUCCAGAGGAACCUGUUUUGUAAUCGAUAAUCCACGAUGGACCUUACUUAAAUUUGUUGUCAGUUUAUAUACCGUCGUUAUUAGAAUAUUUUAUAAGAAUAAGAAUAUUCAAUAAUUUUUAUUAAAAUUUAUAUCAGAUCAAGGUGUAGCUUAUAUUUAAGUAAUAAUGGGUUACAAUAAAUAUAUUUAAACGAAUAAAAUUAUGAAAAAAUUUUUGAAGGUGGAUUUGGUAGUAAAAUUAUAAAGAUUAUUAAUUUGAUUUUAGCUCUAAAAUAUGUACACAUCGCCCGUCGCUCUUAUUAUUAAGGUAAGAUAAGUCGUAACAUAGUAGAUGUACUGGAAAGUGUAUCUAGAAUGA